GGGAAACUGCCUGAUGGAGGGGGAUAACUACUGGAAACGGUAGCUAAUACCGCAUAACGUCGCAAGACCAAAGAGGGGGACCUUCGGGCCUCUUGCCAUCGGAUGUGCCCAGAUGGGAUUAGCUAGUAGGUGGGGUAACGGCUCACCUAGGCGACGAUCCCUAGCUGGUCUGAGAGGAUGACCAGCCACACUGGAACUGAGACACGGUCCAGACUCCUACGGGAGGCAGCAGUGGGGAAUAUUGCACAAUGGGCGCAAGCCUGAUGCAGCCAUGCCGCGUGUAUGAAGAAGGCCUUCGGGUUGUAAAGUACUUUCAGCGGGGAGGAAGGCGAUAAGGUUAAUAACCUUGUCGAUUGACGUUACCCGCAGAAGAAGCACCGGCUAACUCCGUGCCAGCAGCCGCGGUAAUACGGAGGGUGCAAGCGUUAAUCGGAAUUACUGGGCGUAAAGCGCACGCAGGCGGUCUGUCAAGUCGGAUGUGAAAUCCCCGGGCUCAACCUGGGAACUGCAUUCGAAACUGGCAGGCUAGAGUCUUGUAGAGGGGGGUAGAAUU
rnacentral:rRNA from 1 species